UGAAGUUCAAUAAUUAAUCUACACAAAAGGUUACUUUAUUAUAUGUAAAGGUUUAAUUGUAUAGAAAUUAGAUCUUGUAAAACAUUUCAUUUAAUUCUUCACAUAAGAUCCGUUACACAGAGGUCCGAUUACAAAUUAAGUUUGUCUAUGUCUCAAAUAUCAGCUUUUAAAAAAAAAUCUGAUAUAAUACCUUAGAAUUCUGUGUAGAAUGAUAUUUCAUUGAAUUUGUGCUAUUGUUUGUUUUUUAAAGUGUGUUCAAAUUCUUGGCUUGGUAAUAAAUAAGGUUAGUAGUGUUAAUAGAAUUACAUAAAAAAUGUUGCUGGUGAUAUUGUAAAUAGCUGUGAUAUACAGAGAGCAAGUGAUUGGCAACAUAACUUGUACCCUAAUGUUACUCAAGGACUUACCUUCUCAACAGAACGGGAAUUGUUUUCUUUUGAAAAUCACUACAAUCAUGAUUUAGUUUCUAAUUCAUUGUAGUUUUAUACAACAUGUAGAUUAAGCUAUGUUAUUAUUUCUUAGACCAUUUAACCAUUAAAUUAAUAAUUCAAACAAAAGGCAGCAGAAGUUAUUAUGUAACCAUGGUAACUGCAUGUCUACCCUCAAUGUUAUUCUUGAUGUCAAAACUCCAAUACCACCAGGAAAUCUGUUAGAUCCAAAUGUUGCUUUCCUUUCACAUACACACUGUCACAUCAAUCUUUCUCCGGUCAAUGUCUCAAGUACCAGUAUGUGUUAUCAUUCAGAUUGUGUGUAUUAACUUAGCUUGAAACAGAUAAAAACCAAUUCUUAGUGUGAUUAUAAAUUUUCAAGUUUUCAGAAUACUGCAAAUCUCUAAAAUUAAAAUCAUCUUGGUAACCGACUUGUCAAGGAAUCAAAGUCCUACACACCAAUGUAUAGUGACAAUGAAUAGUUAGUAAAGUGUCUCCCAAUAAAAAAGAGAAUGUGGUAAUGUGAAGGUUAUAGUUAACAGAAUGUGGUAAUGUGAAGGUUAUAGUUAACAGAAUGUGGUAAUGUGAAGGUUAUAGUUAACAAUGUGAAGGUUAUAGUUAACAGAAUGUGGUAAUGUGAAGGUUAUAGUUAACAAUGUGAAGGUUAUAGUUAACAGAAUGUGGUAAUGUGAAGGUUAUAGUUAACAAUGUGAAGGUUAUAGUUAACAGAAUGUGGUAAUGUGAAGGUUAUAGUUAACAAUGUGAAGGUUAUAGUUAACAGAAUGUGGUAAUGUGAAGGUUAUAGUUAACAGAAUGUGGUAAUGUGAAGGUUAUAGUUAACAAUGUGAAGGUUAUAGUUAACAGAAUGUGGUAAUGUGAAGGUUAUAGUUAACAAUGUGAAGGUUAUAGUUAACAGAAUGUGGUAAUGUGAAGGUUAUAGUUAACAAUGUGAAGGUUAUAGUUAACAAUGUGAAGGUUAUAGUUAACUGAUGUCCAUACUAUUGUGACAGUCACAGAGGAGAAGUCGUUGGAAAACCUGGGCUCCUUCCAAGACUGUCACUGUUAGUUUGAGUUUACACCAGUCCAAUGUCCAUUUAUAUCUUUAAAUUGAUAUAGAGGUUAGUGUGCAGACCUUAUUGAAACAUCAUUACAGAAAAUGUGCUGUACAUUAGUAGAUACAAUUAACAUAAUUCCUUUUUGAGAUUUUCUGACACUAAGAGUUUUACAGAGCCCUUCAUUCACUGUAGCCUAGCCAUAUUGUCAGAAAUUUUUUGGUAUAUUUUUUGUGUGUCUAUGAACCUGUCACCAUUUUUACAUUUUGAUGAUCUUGGCAUUACACUGCUGUCAUGCUCUAUCCUACAUCUCUCCAUCCUACAUAGUCAUCACGUUACAGAGGAAACAAGGCCGUGCUGGAGGUCCUCACAGAUUUGGGGCUACCCCUUGACAUUACUUAUUAUAAGGUCAAACAUAAACAUCACCCAGCAUCAGAGCAAAGUAUAUCACCAUGGUUACCAGUCUAAACUUGACAUGUGUAUCUGUCAAUGACAUCUUCCAUUACUUCCUUACAUCACAUUGUUUUAUUUUAGAUAAAUUCUUUUCUUAGCCAAAAAAUGUUUUAUUUCAGAUAAAUUCUUUUCUUAACCAAAAAAAUGUCAGAAGGUACCACUGUACACUCCCGGAUUUCUCUGGGGUUGUAUCAUACAUAUAACAACAGACUUCUUAAACUGCUUAGAGGAUUCCCUAUGUUCUAAGGAGCGUUCUCCCACUGGAUUCUUUAUGUCUGAGGAGGACUGUUAAAACAUGGGGUUUCCUCUCAUUUACUGGACAGGUCAAGGCUUCCCAGCUGGUUGGUUUUGUUUUGUAUUGUAGGGUGACCCAAUACAGUUUCAUUUGUCAAUGUCCAGCAAGGAUAUGAAAAUGUUUAGGUUUUAAACUCACCAAAACAAUAGUUUCACAGAAACAUCAGUGGAGUAUAAUUUGAAUUUGGCAUGGACAAGUCAAAUUUCUUAUCUUGGCAAAAUCUUUAAAAAAGGGAUAUGAUAUAAAUUAAUUAAUAUGAAUAAAUCUAUUCUACACAAUGUUGUGGUACGCCCAUUCUGGCAGUGUGUUACUACGAGAUAAAACAAAAGUUUUUCUGUUAGGGAGGUCUCUGCCAGAUAGACAAAUGGUUUAUACAGUAUGUUACAUCAAAGAAAUACUAAUUAGAUAAAAGUGCUGACUAAUGAUGUCUUGAAAGCAUGUAAAUUUGAUCAACACAAUUAACAUAAAUUGGUAGAUGAUAGUGAACAUCUGUAGGCUAUAUAAAAAGGUUGUCCCCCACAGCUCUAACCACUGGUUAUGUAAUUAGCUGCAAUAUCCAGGGCAGGGCUGACUUAGUGGUAAUUAACGGGUAUUUGUCAAUAUAAUCCUGGGAAAUGUUAACGCAGCAAGGGUGAAUUACCACUUCUAACAUAUCACAUGCUUGUCCACAUCAUUAGUCAGCUGUUCAGUACAUUCAGAUCAACUUUUCUCCACAUCUAUAACAUUUGGACCGUUCUGUCAGACAUGCUUUCCUUAUCCUGAGAUUUCCUGUUCCACCAAAUAGCUAGUUAGUCAUAUCAGUACUGCUGUUACCAAACCGAUGUCUUCAUUCAACAUGGAUGUUCAAACAUAUUUCUGAAAUACAAAUACUGUUGUUCUAACACUACUGUUCUAACCACCUGUCUCAAAAAGAACCCUUAAAGAAAUUCCCUGAUGGUCAGUGUUUUUCUUUGCUAGUUAGUGAUUCCCUGAUGGUCAGUGUUUUUCUUUGCUAGUUAGUGAACUGUCAAUGAGCAAGACUUCUUAACUGUGACAUGCUGUUCUGAAUGGUGAUGUUGUAACCACUUGGCCUUUCGCCAUACUGUCUAUACACCACAUUGCUUGCCUGCAUGUCUUCAUGAUUACACAUUCCUUAAUCAUCAGGGAUGUAUACAUGGUUUACAAAAAUCAUAUAAGAAAAGAAACAUUGACAUCUUUAUAUGUUUGUGAGAUAUACAAAAGUUAAAACGGAAAAGAUGUGCUCAAAAUUGUAAAAAAAAAAGGUUUUGUGAGGCAUGAACAUUGCAGUGUUCAGAUGGGUAUGUGAUGAAUACAUUGUAGGUCUUACACAUGUACAGGUCUUAUUGUAUGUAUAGAGUCAGAAUUCUCCUGAGAUUUUUUUAUCAUUUGAAGAAUUGAACAUUUUUAAAGGUUGACGAUAGUAUGUGUAGAACUAAACUACUCAAGAAGUGGUUCAUUUGGAUGUGUAGUGUUAGAAAUCUCCAAGGGAAUCCCCAGUAACAUGUCAGCUGGCUUCAGAUGUGUUUCUACACCAUCCUUUUCCCCAAAUUAAUCACCUUUACAGUCGUUUUUUUAAGACCUCAAGUUUUUUUGAUAGCACUGAAGGACACUUGGUCUACUGCUGAUUGGUAGGAACAUUCAGCAAAGUGCCUGGGAAUGUUGGAGGCAAAACAUGGCAGCACGGAGCCGAGAAAUAUGAUCAUGAGAUUUAGAGGAGAGGAUAUAGAUAUUAUCUAGGUUAUAUCACUAAAAGAUAUGUUCUAAAGCAUAAAUAUUAAUCUGUUCAAGUCCUUAGAUCAGACUUUUGAAUCAACACAUAAAAUUCAAUUUGCUUUUAAUUAUGGUGUACGGAGCCCCCUGGCAUGUCCUGUAGGCUGAGAUUACAUCGGGUAUUCCACGGGUUAUCUCGGGAGAUGUAUAGAGCUUCAGAUAAGCAACCAUUUUAUCCACUUUUUGCAGCAAAGCCUCCGAUAAAAAUGUGCUAUACGUUUAGCAGAGUUGAUAUUUUUAUUACACACAGAUUGCUGAGCUGAUAGUCUCACUGUAGGCCUGGUGAUACAUCCCGGGGAAUAUUUUUAAAUGUAAAAACGUUGACUUGAUGUCUAUUUCACACCAUUGACUAGAACAGUUCAUCCAGAAGAUGUUGACAUGUUUUAGAGUAGAGGUUGUUCAGCUCUCUUAAAGAGGGGUUACCUCACUAGUGUGGAAUCUAUAGUAUAUGAUGGGUACCAUGACAAAGUGCUACUUGUCACUCUGUGAGUUCACAUUGUUUUUAUGAAUGAAAGUGUUUUUUGUGUUGAGAGUUAGAAAGAUUUGUCAAAUUUGAAUACUAAAUUUGAAAAAAAAAGUCAUCAGGCACAUGAUAUAUUUAGGAAUAUCACCAAUUUGACUUGAUUCACUUAUAGUUUAUGAGUGUCAGAGGGUGUGUGUGUGUGUGUGUGUGUGAGGGUGAUUGAGGGUGUGUGUAAGGGUGAGGGUGAUUGAGGGUGUGUGUAUGUGAUAGAGUUUGUGAGUAUACAAUAACACCAGUGAUCUCUACAACACAGCUAUAUAUAUAGUGCUACUUUCACUGUCUCCAUAGACUUGCACAAGUCCAGGCAUGGUUCACUACAUUUCAAAUUUCAAAAAAUUUGUUUCAUUUUAAUUUAUGUCGAUAUUUAUAUGAACAUUUAGCAUACAUUUAACAUAACAUUGAUCAAAGUGUUGUCAUGAUAUGUGUUAACAGGACACCGCUUCAUUAUAGGGGAAUGUUUGUCACAUACUUGUAGGGGCCUGUGCAAGUCUAAUGUCUCUCUGUGAGUUUUUGUGUUAUCAUUUGCUUGGUGCUGUUCAUUUAUAAAUUAAGAUUUUUGCCUGUUUUUGAUUACUCAUCAUUUAUGUGUUGUGUACCUGUACAACUUUGUACAAGAGGAGGACUGGUUGGAGAAUAAAGUAUGAAAAUAUA